GUGUCAAUCAAUAUAAUCUUGAAUCGAAAAUAUUUUACCAGAACACAAAUAUAACAAAAUUUACAGUUCAUCCAAAUCCAAACUAGGUAAUUUUCAAUUCAGGCAUCUAGUAAAAAAGUAAAUAAAGAAAUGACUACUAAUUCAAAGAAAAUACAUUAAAAGAAUACAAGGCUCUGAACUGAUCAUUAGCAAGCAUGCUUUUGAGUUAUGCAGCUUGUAGCAAUAAAAUCACCUUGGUGCUUGUGAAGGUGGAUUAAGUAAUAGAUAACACAUAGUCCCUCUAACCGUUUCUUGACUAGUUCACCAAGAAUGUUUUGCUGCAAUUUUUCAAUAAACCUAUAUAAGAAGGAAGUCUUCUUAACAUUCUAUAACAAAAUAUAGAUAAUAAGAGAGAAGACUCAGUAUUUUCACACUAUUUUAAUUACUC
rnacentral:lncRNA from 1 species